AAAAUAAAAGAUAGUCAUGAUUCGACCAUAUUAGACUUGAUUUGCUAAGAGUUGGGCAUGGACACGACCAUAUCAGAUUUGUUGCCACCCCUCCCGAGCAGGCCAUAAAAUUUAGGGCAGGACUUCUCAUCCUACGAAACACGAGAAUUCGAGGAAGAUAGGUCAGGGUCAUCCGUCCUUCCGUCCGUCUCCAUCAUGGCCAUGUUGGAGACGGCGACCAUGGAGUAUGCCCGUCUCCGUACCAGCAGGAGCAACUCUGUAUUUCCCCGUAAGGCUCAGGGUUCGAUCCUGUUAUCUCUUCAUGUCGACGGAGAAAAAUCCUUCCAUGAGGGGAACUAUAGGGUUGAACGCUGAGGCAAUGAAAGCUGCGAUGGGCAAGAAAUCAAGGUCCGGAAGCAAGAGGGAUUGGAGGUGGCAAGGAAACACGGCAAGGGGAAGGCCAAGGCAUCCUCUUCUGCAAAACCCUAGCCUCCGUUUCCGUCUCGCCAUGCCGUCGCACCGCCGGAGCUAUCUCUAGCAAAACCCUAGUUUCAUCAGCUCCAUGACAUAUCUCGUCUCUUCUUCUGGUUGAUGUUGCUCGGAUUCAAGUUGAUCAAGAAUAUCGAUUGAGAGAUCCAUGUAUUUCCAAAUGUACUCUUACAAUGUGUAAGAAGAAUAUCUGUAAUAGAUUCAUUUGUCGUGAAUAUAUGCGUACAUUUAUUUUUAUGUUGAUGUUGAGUUUUUAUCCUGAGAUUCCUUCUCUUAUUAUCAUUUUGUGCCAUGUUUUUGGGUCAUUUCUGCCGUUGCAUAUACCAUGG
rnacentral:lncRNA from 1 species